rnacentral:rRNA from 1 species
CAGGCCUAACACAUGCAAGUCGGACGGUAGCACAGAGAGCUUGCUCUCGGGUGACGAGUGGCGGACGGGUGAGUAAUGUCUGGGAAACUGCCCGAUGGAGGGGGAUAACUACUGGAAACGGUAGCUAAUACCGCAUAACGUCUUCGGACCAAAGUGGGGGACCUUCGGGCCUCACACCAUCGGAUGUGCCCAGAUGGGAUUAGCUAUUAGGUGGGGUAAUGGCUCACCUAGGCGACGAUCCCUAGCUGGUCUGAGAGGAUGACCAGCCACACUGGAACUGAGACACGGUCCAGACUCCUACGGGAGGCAGCAGUGGGGAAUAUUGCACAAUGGGCGCAAGCCUGAUGCAGCCAUGCCGCGUGUAUGAAGAAGGCCUUCGGGUUGUAAAGUACUUUCAGCG